UACGGAGGAUGCGAGCGUUAUCCGGAUUUAUUGGGUUUAAAGGGUGCGUAGGUUGUUUUUUAAGUCAGCGGUGAAAGUUUGUGGCUCAACCAUAAAAUUGCCGUUGAAACUGGGGGGCUUGAGUAUGUUUGAGGCAGGCGGAAUGCGUGGUGUAGCGGUGAAAUGCAUAGAUAUCACGCAGAACCCCGAUUGCGAAGGCAGCCUGCCAAGCUACUUCUGACGUUGAGGCACGAAAGCGUGGGGAGCAAACAGG
rnacentral:rRNA from 1 species